GACGAACGCUGGCGGCGUGCUUAACACAUGCAAGUCGAACGGUGAACCUCUUCGGAGGGGAUCAGUGGCGAACGGGUGAGUAACACGUGGGCAACCUGCCCCCGGCUCUGGGAUAACUCCAAGAAAUUGGGGCUAAUACCGGAUGUUCACCGCUUCCCGCAUGGGUGGUGGUGGAAAGGGUUUCCGGCUGGGGAUGGGCCCGCGGCCUAUCAGCUUGUUGGUGGGGUAGUGGCCUACCAAGGCGACGACGGGUAGCCGGCCUGAGAGGGUGACCGGCCACACUGGGACUGAGACACGGCCCAGACUCCUACGGGAGGCAGCGGUGGGGAAUAUUGCGCAAUGGGCGGAAGCCUGACGCAGCGACGCCGCGUGGGGGAUGACGGCCUUCGGGUUGUAAACCUCUUUCAGCAGGGACGAAGCGCAAGUGACGGUACCUGCAGAAGAAGCACCGGCCAACUACGUG
rnacentral:rRNA from 1 species